rnacentral:misc_RNA from 1 species
AACAAACCAUCGAUUUCGUUGCUUUUUUUUUUAAAAGGUGAUGUUUAUCGGAUUUGAGCCGUCUUUUUUUUUUUAUAUUUAAGUGGCUUAAAAUUGAUUUUUUUGGUAUGAUCGAAGCGUAUUUUAUGAUCAAUUUUUGGUUAAAGAAACGCAUACGCGUACCGUUAUUUGUAUGAUGUAAUACGUUUGACUAUUGGAUUUAGUUCAUUCGUAUACGAUAUUUUUCAAU